AGCGAACGCUGGCGGCAGGCCUAACACAUGCAAGUCGAACGAAGUCUUCGGACUUAGUGGCGGACGGGUGAGUAACACGUGGGAACGUGCCUUUAGGUUCGGCAUAACUCAGGGAAACUUGUGCUAAUACCGAAUGUGCCCUUCGGGGGAAAGAUUUAUCGCCUUUAGAGCGGCCCGCGUCUGAUUAGCUAGUUGGUGUGGUAAAGGCUCACCAAGGCUACGAUCAGUAGCUGGUCUGAGAGGAUGACCAGCCACAUUGGGACUGAGACACGGCCCAAACUCCUACGGGAGGCAGCAGUGGGAAAUCUUGCGCAAUGGGCGAAAGCCUGACGCAGCCAUGCCGCGUGGAUGAUGAAGGUCUUAGGAUUGUAAAAUCCUUUCACCGGUGAAGAUAAUGACUGUAGCCGGAGAAGAAGCCCCGGCUAACUUCGUGCCAGCAGCCGCCGUAAUAC
rnacentral:rRNA from 1 species